UCAAAAAAGGGAAAAAUUGUUGGAAAAGUUCUAAAAUACAUCUUAAAUAAGCUUCUAAAACAUGCACUGUACCUGCACAUUUUGAUCUGUCUUUCCUAUUCAUAAGAGUAAAAUCUUUGCCACCCCAACUUAAUUCAUGAAAACAAUCGACAACCAACAAUCUCAUUUUCAUUCCCAACAAAAGCUUUUUAUAUUUAUUAUUUCCCAUUUAGGGAAUCUCAAAAUUGAUAUAUCAUGAUCCAUGUAUAGGGAAACUUUUUAUUAUUCCUAUAGCUUAAAUCUACUUCCAAAAAAAAUCCACCAAUCCAACAUAAUUAUUAUAUAUCCAUAAAAUAUCAAAACAAAUUCAGAUUUUAACUUCAAAAUAACACAAUACUCAACAUAUCUUUGGUAUAAGCUAAUUCUAUCCAUCAACCCAAAUUGUUUUUAAUAUUAUUUCAGAAUUGAAACCCACAUUAGCACAAUAACAUUAUCAUGAUUCUCUAUAAAAGUUAUAAGAUUUUGAAUGAUCAUAAAGUGCUAACAGACCAUAAGAUUAAUGCCUCAUGAAUUGAGAUGGAAAGAUCACUCCAUAGAGGUAACCACAAUCCAUACUCACCGUUUUGG